rnacentral:rRNA from 1 species
AACGAACGCUGGCGGCAGGCCUAACACAUGCAAGUCGAGCGAGGACUUCGGUCCUAGCGGCGGACGGGUGAGUAACGCGUGGGAACGUGCCCUUUGCUUCGGAAUAGCCCUGGGAAACUGGGAGUAAUACCGGAUGAGCCCUUUGGGGGAAAGAUUUAUCGGCGAAGGAUCGGCCCGCGUUGGAUUAGGUAGUUGGUGGGGUAAUGGCCUACCAAGCCGACGAUCCAUAGCUAGUUUGAGAGGAUGAUCAGCCACACUGGGACUGAGACACGGCCCAGACUCCUACGGGAGGCAGCAGUGGGGAAUCUUAGACAAUGGGGGAAACCCUGAUCUAGCCAUGCCGCGUGAGCGAUGAAGGCCUUAGGGUUGUAAAGCUCUUUCAGCUGGGAAGAUAAUGACGGUACCAGCAGAAGAAGCCCCGGCUAACUCCGUG